rnacentral:rRNA from 1 species
UACAGAGGUCUCGAGCGUUAGGCGGAAUCACUGGGCUUAAAGCGUGUGUAGGUGGAUCGUUAAGUACCUUGUGAAAUCCCACGGCUUAACCGUGGAACUGCUUGGUAUACUGGCGGUCUUGAGCCAGCUAGGGGCUACCGGAACAAAUGGUGGAGCGGUGAAAUGCGUAGAUAUCAUUUGGAACGCCAAUGGGUGAAAAACAGGUAGCUGGGGGCUGUGCUGACACUGAG